GAAGUUCGCCAGGCAAUCGCUGCGCACCUCGUCGUGCGUGGAGGAAAGUCCGGGCCCCGCAGAGCAGGAUGCCGGCUAACGGCCGGGCGCCGUGAGGCGACGGAAAGUGCAACAGAGAGCAGACCGCCGACGAUCAGCGAUGAUCGGGCAAGGGUGAAAGGGUGAGGUAAGAGCUCACCGCGGGACUGGUAACAGGACCGGCACGGCAAACCCCAUCCGGGGCAAGGCCAAAUAGGGGAGCAUUGGCGUGGCUCGCGUCGCUCCCGGGUAGGCCGCUUGAGCGUCGUGGUGACAUGACGCCCAGAUGAAUGAUUGCCCCGCGUCGACGCGUCCGCGUCGGUGCGCGACAGAACCCGGCUUAUCGGCGAACUUCCUCU
rnacentral:RNase_P_RNA from 1 species